GAUGAACGCUGGCGGCGUGCCUAAUACAUGCAAGUCGAGCGAGCAGACGAGGAGCUUGCUCCUCUGACGUUAGCGGCGGACGGGUGAGUAACACGUGGAUAACCUACCUAUAAGACUGGGAUAACUUCGGGAAACCGGAGCUAAUACCGGAUAACAUGUUGAACCGCAUGGUUCAACAGUGAAAGACGGUUUUGCUGUCACUUAUAGAUGGAUCCGCGCCGCAUUAGCUAGUUGGUAAGGUAACGGCUUACCAAGGCAACGAUGCGUAGCCGACCUGAGAGGGUGAUCGGCCACACUGGAACUGAGACACGGUCCAGACUCCUACGGGAGGCAGCAGUAGGGAAUCUUCCGCAAUGGGCGAAAGCCUGACGGAGCAACGCCGCGUGAGUGAAGAAGGUCUUCGGAUCGUAAAACUCUGUUAUUAGGGAAGAACAAAUGUGUAAGUAACUAUGCACGUCUUGACGGUACCUAAUCAGAAAGCCACGGCUAACUACGUG
rnacentral:rRNA from 1 species